rnacentral:misc_RNA from 1 species
GACGGCGAUAUGAGCUCCCGGGUACUGACUGAACAAGCUCUAGUGUCUCGCUUGUGGCCGUAACAUAAACAUCACCGUCUGUCUGUCUGUCUGUCUGUCGCGGCUCUGAGAAAAGAUCUUGGUUAUUCUUUUCAAAACUUUGCGUCGUUAAAUAUUUCUGUGGCUGGAAUAUACACCAACGCCAGUACAGGAAGAUGACAGCUGAGUGAACGUUAGCCUGGCGGGUCACUGGCAGGCAGAAGAGAACGCCGGAGGAUGCUGAUUGCUCGUGCUGGCAUUGUGUCGACGGCUGUCUUCACUCCGGUACAAAGGACGCAGACACAAGGUCACGCCAUUCUCUGAAGUAAGUGAGAGAGAGAGAGACAGAGAGAGAGAUAUGUUCCUCUAUUACUACAAGUGAGGUGUUUUUCUAGUGUAGUAAGAGACGGGUAUCCUUGGUGUAGUGAGAGACGGGUAUCCUUGGUGUAGUGAGAGACGGGUAUCCUUGGUGUAGUAAGAGACGGGUAUCCUUGGUGUAGUGAGAGACGGGUAUCCUUGGUGUAGUGAGAGACGGGUAUCCUUGGUGUAGUGAGAGACGGGUAUCCUUGGUGUAGUGAGAGAAGUAUAUACUGUACACAGCUCCACAAAUACCCGCAUCAGGACUCACAGCAAACUAAAACUAAAAUGACUUUCUGGCGCGUCUUGGCUAUGAGUCUACUGGUGGCUCUAUACAUGGAAGAAUCUUCGUCAGCACCUUCUUCUGGGGGACAAUGCCUGCAGGAGGGACGACAGGACAUCGAGGGGACGUGUGGACCAGACGUGAUCACCAACGGAACACAAUCAUUCACAACAGUCAAGCGAGUGUCACACUGGAGCUACGAGAACUUGACACUCAUCAUCAAACCCGGAGCAGACUUCAACACCCUGAACAUUACUCUUAGCCUGGCGAAGCUCAGCGCCACGCCAGACGAUGCUGACACCUUACCCGGACACCUGUGGCAAGGGGUGAAGGACUGGCUUAUAGGAGACACACUGGAGAAGGUGAGGGACAAUGUCAACAAGGUUCUCUCCUCCGUCAGUAGUAAAUUCAACGACCUGACGAUGGGUUCUCACAGUCAGCUCAUGUCAGCGAGGGAGAUGAACCUAACAGACACCUGUCACUGGUACAAACUGACCGUACAGACCGUCAGGAACGACAGGAACGGACCGGAUAACUGGGCGAUCAGUGUAUGGGUAGACGGGACCCCUCACCUCUACACGACCCAGUACUGGUGGCACGUCAACUGGGUGGUGGGGUUGGAGGUGUCGUCCAGGGGGUCGUCUCAGUGGAUCACGACGAGGGAUACCAUCUGCCCGUCGUGGCCGUGGUGGUGGUGGGUCGUGCUGGUGGCCGGGGUCGUCCUCUUAAUGAUGGUCGUGGCACUGGUGUUGUUCUUCUUCUAUUGCAGACAAUGUUGUGUGCAUCUGAGAGCAACACCGAAUGACGAGGCUGUCCCCCUGGACGGAGUCAAGCAGUUGACCUUGUAUGGCCUCUCCCGGGAGGUCACGGCCUCUACCAAACGCUGGGUGUUCUUCAAGGUCAUCAGAGGUCAGCAGCGAGGUGAAGACGAGACGUAGGAUCCUCAUAGGUGUGAAAAUGAUACAAGACGAUACACUGGGUCAUAACAGAGGGGGGGGUAUUUUAGGUCAAGCACGUGACCUAACUUACCAAAGAAACCCCAUGUGUGUGAAAAAUGAACUCUGGGAAACACUUGGUCAUGUUCCAGGGUUAUCCGGGCCAAGGACAUGUCCCAGUUGACCGAGGAGCCUGAUGCGUGUGAGAUAUAAUAAUACAAGGAGAGAUAUAUCUGGCCGGCAGAGGUGACCAGCUGACCACAAGAGCUGACUGUGGCCGGCAGAGGUGACCAGCUGACCACAAGAGUUGACAGUGGCCGGCAGAGGUGAGCAGCUGACCACAAGAGCUGACUGUGGCCGGCAGAGGUGACCAGCUGACCACAAGAGCUGACUGUGUGUGUGUGUGUGUGAAUAUCGGUUAUUACGUCGCCUGUACCAAAGGGAUCAACAUAACCACCGACUGUAAGAGUGACAAUACCAUCCAACACACAGUAACCUUCGACCUUAUAGCAUAGUCACUGACAUCCUCAUGGUAGAUAGAUAGAUAUGUGUAUAGAGGUCAUAACACUAUGUAUUUUACUGGAUAAUAAACCUUCAUAACAGAAGC